rnacentral:rRNA from 1 species
AACGAACGCUGGCGGCGUGCCUAACACAUGCAAGUCGAGCGGGCCUGGGGCAACUCAGGUCAGCGGCAGACGGGUGAGUAACACGUGGGUAAUCUGCCCUCGAGUGGGGAACAACCCGGGGAAACCCGGGCUAAUACCGCAUAACAUCGCGAUGUCCUUGGGCAUUGCGAUCAAAGCUGGGGACCGAAAGGCCUGGCGCUUGAGGAGGAGCCCGCGCCCGAUUAGCUAGUUGGUGGGGUCAUGGCCUACCAAGGCGACGAUCGGUAGCCGGCCUGAGAGGGUGAUCGGCCACACUGGGACUGAGACACGGCCCAGACUCCUACGGGAGGCAG